rnacentral:lncRNA from 1 species
UUUUCUAAGUAAGUCGAGAUCGUUAAUUUUUAACAAAUAAAGACUUUGAUUAAUAUAAAACAAAACGUAAACAAUUAAAAAAAAAAAAAACAUCUUCAAGUCAGGCCUGAUUUUUAAACAUUCAAGAAAACAUAAAAUAGUACUAUUUACAACAAACGUUUGUAAACUAAAUUUCAAUUCAUUUUAAACCUCACAAGAACCCAUAAGCGGAAGCAAAAAAACACGUUUCCUAUGGCAUCACGCUUCCUUCCUCCCUCUCGCCUGUUUGUCGCCUUUAUUACCUUUGCCUGAAAAUUAAACAUAAGAAGGGUGAGUAUUUUAAAUACUCAGUAAGAGACCCUCUACUGGUCUCGUCAGGGAAAAAUAAAUUGUUAAAGUUCUAUUGGGACACCCUGUACAGUCGCAGUCUUGUGAUCCCGUAGGAUACACAUCUCAGUCUAACGCCCCGAGGGACGUACAUAUCAGUCUAGUGUUCUGCAGAAACACAUAUCACUCAAAUGCUCCCGAAGGUGCACAAUAAAUUGGUGAUCCCGUGGGACACCUACAAGGUAAACAUCCCAAUACAAUCUAACAAUUUAUCCCCUCAUUCCAUUCAACCCAUCUUUCAGUUACUUCAAGUCACAAAGUUCUUUCUUUCAACAUCCUAACAGUCAACUUAUUUUACUACAGUCAUAUGUCUGUCAAUAAUAUGCUAAUACAUCAGUCAAUCCACUAUACAGUCAAUGCACCCCUCAGUUCACCAGCACACAGUCAUACUUUAGUGUAAUCAUACACCCAAUCUAAACGAGAAUCUCAUACAAACACAAUCUACAAUCUCCGUCCUGUCCACAUACACACAUUUAUAUAUAGAUUCCAUGACAAUCACGACAUACAUUCGACGUCAAGUCUACUUCAAUUCAUAUACAUUCAUAUAUAUUUUCAGUCAAACCCAGUAUACAUUCAACACACAUACAGUUCACAAUCACAAUUGAGUCCAGUAGAAAAUCCCUUACCUGGAUCUUUAUGUAAAAUUCCUUAGUCGAACUAACUUCAACAAACAAACCCCAAGAGUAAAGAAUCGAACUCCAACAAAGCUUAAGGAGUAACUCAAGGACACUAACUCGAAAUCACUGAUGUCGCCUUCAAGAACAAAGAUCAAUUCAACCAAUUAAACAACAUCACAUCUUAAUGUAUUUAUAAAUGUAAGACCUUAUUACCCAACAAUCUCAUCCUUACCAAUAACUUAUAACAAGACUUUGACAAUCGACGUUAAAAUAGAAGUUGCCGCAGGAUCUACACAAAAGACAUCGUGCAAAACACUUCUACACGCGAACCAGUCCGCGAUUCGUAAAUGGGACAGCGGGUAUCGACGAAGGCAGAACGGUUCGGACGUUCAACAGCAGUUACGCGCGGACGGGAGUAGCCCGGCAACGUAGCCGAACUCGUGCGAUGCGGCGUGACCUGCAUCGGCGAGGCUGUUCGUGACUGAGGCGUGCGACUUGCCUCGCGAACGGAGAUAGAGACGGCGGCUGGGUUCGGCUUCGACGGAGACAGAACCGGUGAUGGAGACGGCAGAUCAGCGCGCGGGUUGCGGCGGGAAAAAAACGAAAGGGAAAGGAUCGGUGGGAGUCGCGGCGCACGGCGGAAGAAGGAAAUAAGGGCGGCGGUUGCUGGGCUGCGACGCAGAUCUGGACUGGGCACGAACGGAAGGAGAAGAGGACGGUUGGGGCGGUUGCUGCGCGAACGGAGAGAAGGGGAAGGAGGGUCGCGGCGCACGGGAGGAAGAAGAAGAGAGAGAGAGAGAAAAAAAGAGAAAAGAAAAAGAAAGAAAAAAAAUAUAUAUAUAAUAAGAAUUUUUUUUUCUUUUUCUUUUCUUUUCUUUUUUAUUUAAAUUAAUAUUAAAAUAUAUAAAAAUUUAAAAAUAUAUAUAUAUACAUAUAUAUUUUUACCUUUGGGUCUUUACAUUCUUCCCUCCUUAAGAAAUUUUCGUCCUCGAAAGUUUUAAUCCUGAAAUAACUCUGGAUAACGAGUCCUCAUCUCUUCCUCUCGCUCCCAUGUUGCGUCUUCAAUUCGAUGAUUCCGCCACAAAACCUUUACUAAUGGAAUGCUUCUAUUACGAAGCAUCUUUACCUCUCUAGCCAGAAUCUCCAUAGGUUGUUCUACAUAGCUCAAAUGCUCAUUAAUCUCCAAAGGUUCAUAGUCCACUACAUGAGAUGUAUCGGCCACAUACUUCCUCAACAUCGAAACAUGGAAAACAUUAUGAACUGCAGAGAGUGAUGGUGGUAAUGCCAAGCGAUACGCCACAACACCAACCCUCUCUAAGAUCUCAAAUGGUCCAACAAAACGAGGACUUAACUUUCCUUUCUUCUCAAAACGCAUAACACCCUUCAUAGGUGCUACCUUCAAGAAUACCUUUUCUCCCACAUCGAACUUAAGGUCUUUUCGCCGUACAUCUGCAUAACUCUUCUGUCUACUCUGCGCUGUUUGCAUACGCGUUCUAAUCUUUUGAAUAGCCUCAUUAGUAGACCGAACUAAUUCAGGUCCCAUCAAUCUAUGUUCACCAACCUCACUCCAACAAACAGGGGUUCUACAACAUUUGCCAAAGAAAGCCUCAAAUGGUGCCAUACCGAUGGUAGCCUGAAAACUGUUGUUAUAAGCAAACUCCAUCAAAUGUAGAUGAGAGUCCCAACUACCUGGAAACUCUAUAACACAAGCUCGUAGCAUAUCCUCUAAAACUUGGUUCAAACGUUCAGUUUGACCAUCAGUCUGUGGAUGAAAGGCUGUACUGAAAUCCAAUCUCGUACCCAUAGCAGUCUGAAGUCCCUUCCAAAACUUGGAAGUAAACCGUGCAUCCCUAUCAGAAACAAUCGAUACAGACACUCCAUGCAGUCUCACAACCUCAGUUAAAUACAACUGUGCCCACUUACUAGCAGUAAAAGUGGAUUUCCCUGGUACAAAAUGUGCCGAUUUCGUAAGCCUGUCUACAAUAACCCAAAUCACUGUGAAACCCUUCAGGGUUUUAGGCAAUUAUAUAAUAAAAUCCAUAGAUACAUUCUCCCACUUCCACUCUAAUAUACUCAAAGGUUGCAACAAACCUGUUGUUUUCUAUCUUGGUGCUUUAACCUACUAGCACACCAAGCACUUACUAACAAGAUUUUCCAUUUCUCUCUUCAUAUUACGCUAGUAACAAACUCUUUUCAAUUCCGGAUACAUUUUUGUGCUACUUGGAUGCAUGAGAAAUGGGAAACUAUGAGUCUCAACCAAUAACCUUGUCUUAAUUGCAUUUUCUGUUGGCACACACAAUUUUCUUUCAAACAUAAGUUCAUCAUCAAAGGAUAUGGAAAACUCCUUAACUUGCCCUACUUCUACUAGGUGAUGCUUCUCAAUCAAAUAAGGAUCAAUGAAUUGAACCACAAGAAUUCUUUGUCUCAAGGUCGGAUGUACUGACAACUGAGCUAACUUUGAGGUGACUUCCCCCACUGAAACUACAAUCUCAGCUCUCUCGUGGUUUUUGUCUAAUGAAACCUGUCUGGUAAUAAGUGCUGUCAAAAUGUGAUACUUUUCUACGAAGAGCACCAACUUCCACAUUCGCCUUACCUAGAUGGUACAAAAUCUCACAAUCAUAGUCAUUUACUAAUUCAAACCAUCUUUGCUAUCUCAUACUCAACUUCUUUUGAGUGAAGAAGUAUUUUAUACUCUUUUGGUUAGAAAAUAUCUAUAUCUUUUCAUCAUACAUAUAGUGCCUUCAAAUCAUUAAUGUAAAAACCACAACUGUCAAUUCCAUAUCAUAAGUUGGACAAUUUUCCUCAUGACUCUUCAACUGACGAGGAGUACAAGCAACUACUUUAACUUGUUGAAUCAGAAUACCUUUUAAACUUUCCUAAAAGCAUCACUAUAAAUUACGGAACAUUCUGAACCAUCAUGUACGGUAAGCACGGGAGUUGUACAAGCUUCUGCUUAAGAUCCUGAACACUAUCCUCAUAGGCUUUGUCCCAAACAAACAGAGUCCCUUUUCUUAGUUAACUGAGUCAAAGGAGUAGCUAUACGAGAAAAUUCUUAUACAAACCGUUAGUAAUAACCUGCUGAACCCAAAAAGACUACGAACCUCACUGACUAUGAAAAGUUGAGGCCAACUGGUAACGACUUCAAUCUUUUAUGAGAUCCACAUAAAUGUCAUCUCUAGAUACCACAUGGCUUGGAAAGAUACUUGGCCUCAUCCAAAACUCACAUUUUGAAAACUUUGCAUACAAUUUGUUGACUCGAAGAGCCUCUUAAAACCAUGUUAAAUGCUCCUCAUGCGCUGUCUCUAUUUUGGAAUAAAUUAAGAUAUCGUCAAUAAAUACAAUCACGAAAGUGUCUAAGAGAUCGUUAAACACUUUGUUCAUCAAGUCGUAAACAUUGUUUGAGCAUUUGCCCACUCAAAAGACAUCAUAAUGAACUCAUGAUGUCCAUAUCUCGAACGAAAAUCUGCCUUAGGAAUGUCACUGUUCUCUAAUCCUCAACAAGUCAUAACCUGAAUGUAAUUCAAUCUUAAAGAACACGGACUUAUUGCAGUUGAUCAAACAAAUCCUCAUUCAUUGGUAAAAGAUAUUUAUUCUUAACCGACACCUUAUUCAACUUUCUACAAUCAAAACAUAAGUGCAUCGACCCAUCUUUCUUCUUAAUAAACAAAAAUUGGUGCACCCCAAGAUAACAUACUUCGUCGAAUGUAGUCCUUGUCAAACAUUUCUUUCAAUUGCACCUUCAAAUCUUUCAACUCUGUUGGGGCCAUUUUGUAUGAAGCUUUAGAUAUAGGAACGAGUCUAACUCUAUCUCAAUAACAAGACCAAUUUCUGUUUAGCACGGUAAUCUUAGAAACUCUUCUAGAAAAAUAUCAUAAUACUUUUUCACCACUGAUUCAAAUAACAAAGAAACAUCGACUUCUCUGGUGUCUACCACACUAGUCAAAUACAACAGGUACCCUGGUCAAGCAACUUACUAACCUUCAUAGUUGGGAUAACUUUUAGCGAAACGAUAGUUCCAACCUCUUUGUACUUGAAACUAGCCUCUGGAGAAGGAUUAGAAACUACAUUUUCGCUGAACAUUUUAUGUUUACAUGGUUAAACUACAUUCCAAUUUUCAAACUCCAAACUAGUAACUUUUCAUUCACGAGAAACUCAAAAUUGUUUCUUAAAGUCACAUCAAGACAACCAUGCUCAUCUUCCUUGUUUCUUUUCCAAUACCUCCAUUCUAAAACCAUUUAAUGUGUUUCGUAUAAACUUGACCGUGUAUUUAGUCCUCUUUAAAACCACCUACAUAACUUAUUUUUCUUAGAUUUCCAAUCACAAAACAGACAAUUUCGCUAACAACGUCUUACUUUUCUACUACUCGACCACUCCUUUGAACACCUCUACAUGGCAACAUUUUUCCUAAAUUUCACCAUUAAAUCCUUCACCAUUAAAUCAUAACAUUCAUGUAAUUCUAGUUUAACUUAGGCAAGGUCAUAUACAUAAACCAUACAUAUAAGCAUAAAGCAUACCUGACGAGAGACGAAGGGUCGCGUUAGCCAUAGGGACACAAAAACAUAGACUUACAUCGUAAGUCAGUCUACAGAACCUAAAACUUAGGCUUUGAUACCAACUGUAACGACCCAACUUUUCUAGGUAAAUCGAGGUCAUUAAUUUUUAACAAAAGACUUUGAUUGAUACAAAAUGAAACGUAAGUCAAUUUUAAAAACAAAUUAUGUCAGGCCUGAUUUUCAAAUAUUCAAGAAAACAUAAAAAUAACACUAUUUACAAAUAAAAGUUUGUAAACUAAGUUUUUAGUACAUUUUAAACCUCACAAGAACCCAUAAGCGGAGCAAAAACACGUUUCCUAUGGCAUCACGCUUCCUUCCUGCCCCUCGCCUGUUUGCCGCCUUUAUUACCUUUGCCUGAAAAUUAAACAUAAGAAGGGUGAGUAUUUUAAAUACUCAGUAAGAGACCCUCUACUGGUCUCG